GAAAUGAGAUAAGUAGUGUGAAUUGCAGAAUUCAGUGAAUCAUCGAAUCUUUGAACGCACAUUGCGCCCCUUGGUAUUCCAUGGGGCAUGCCUGUUCGAGCGUCAUUUGUACCCUCAAGCUCUGCUUGGUGUUGGGUGUUUGUCCCGUCUCCGCGCGUGGACUCGCCCCAAAGUGAUUGGCAGCCGGCGUACUGGUCCCGGAGCGCAGCACAUGUCGCGCAAACGAGUGCCUUGGUACGGCGGCGUCCAUAAGCCCCUCUCUCACGCUCUUGACCUCGGAUCAGGUAGGGAUACCCGCUGAACUUAAGC
rnacentral:misc_RNA from 1 species